AGCAGCCGCGGUAAUUCCAGCUCCAAUAGCGUAUAUUAAAGUUGUUGCAGUUAAAAAGCUCGUAGUUGAAUUUCGGGGUCAGCAGGUUGGUCGUGCCUCUGGUACGCACUGGUUUCGCUGAUUCCUCCUUUCUGAAGAACUGUAAUGUCAUUAAUUUGGUGUUGCAGGGGAAACAGGACUGUUACUUUGAAAAAAUUAGAGUGUUUAAAGCAAGCUAACGCUUGAAUACAUUAGCAUGGAAUAAUGAAAUAGGACGUUUGAUCCUAUUUUGUUGGUUUCUAGGAUUGACGUAAUGAUUAAUAGGGAUAGUUGGGGGCAUUAGUAUUCAAUUGUCAGAGGUGAAAUUCUUGGAUUUAUUGAAGACUAACUACUGCGAAAGCAUUUGCCAAGGAUGUUUUCAUUAAUCAAGAACGAAAGUUAGGGGAUCGAAGACGAUCAGAUACCGUCGUAGUCUUAACCAUAAACUAUGCCGACUAGGGAUCGGAUGAUGUUAAUUUUUUAAUGUACUCAUUCGGCGCCU
rnacentral:rRNA from 1 species